UUCUCUCAUGACUUGUGCGUAUACUUGUGAGGAAAAUGCUGAGAAAAGAGACUUGGUUAAAAGCAUUUCAUAUAUACACCCUAAGAGAGACCUGAUCAAUCAUUCAUAUUAAUCAAUCCAGAAAACAAAAAAAAGAAAAAGCUGCAGAUUAGCAGACUUCUCCAACAUGGCUGAAGCUGUCGUUUCAAUGGUGAUCCAUGGGCUCAGGCCGCUCGGAAGCUUGAUGAUUCAGCAAGCAAUGUUCUUCAAUGGAGUCGGCGAUAAAGUUGAGCUUGCACAAACCGAGCUACUCUUGAUGCAAGGCUUCCUGAAAGAUGCAGAUGCACGACAAGAAAAUGAAGAAGUGGUACGCUUAUGGGUUAAUAUUAUUAGAGAAGCUGCUUAUGAUUUGGAGGAUGCCAUUGAAUCUUUUGUCUUGAAAGUAGCUUUCAAGAGGGAAGCAAGUGUGAAGGUAGUUCUCAAAAGGUUUGCUUGUUUCUUGUGCAAAGGAGUGGAUCGUUACAAGAUCGGAUUGGAAAUCGAGAGCAUUACGACCAAGCUUUCUAAGCUCAGAUCGGAUAUGCAAAGCUAUGACAUAAAGCAAGAAAGGGGGAAUGAAGGUGCUGCUACUUCAAUGAGGCAGCGAGAACGCAGGCUAACCUAUCCUCAUGUUAUUGAGCACCACGUUGUUGGGUUAGGGGACGACACAGAGAUGUUAGCUACAAAUUUGGUGGAAGAAAAAGGCCCUCAAGUGGUUUCUAUUUGGGGCAUGGGCGGCUCGGGAAAGACCACUCUAGCAAAACAAAUUUACAAUCAUAAGAAAGUCAAGUCUCAUUUUGAUUGUUUUGCUUGGGUGUGUAUAUCUCAACAAUGUGACGGUACAACAGUUAUGAAAGAAAUUUUUAUUAAACUUAGCGGUGUGUCCGAUGAGCAAAGACAAGGAAUUGCAAAUCUGAGUAAUGAUGAAAUAGCAGAGAGGUUGUGCAAUUUCCAACGACACAGAAAAUGUUUGGUGGUGCUGGAUGAUAUUUGGACUCUUGAUGCAUGGAACUCUUUUAAUGGUGGAUUUUCAGUGGAUGAGGAAACUGAGAGCCGCAUAUUAUUGACCACUCGCAACAGAGAAGUAGCUUCACUUGCAAGGGGAAAUAGCUUACUCUACGAAUCUCGGGCGCUAAGUGCAGAUGAAAGCUGGAAUUUGUUUCGGAAGAUAGCAUUCUUUGAAAUGGAUGAUACAAAUUCAGACUCUCAAAUUUAUUCAAAGAAGGAAGAACUGGGAAAGAAUAUGCUUCAACAUUGUGCAGGUUUGCCAUUAGCUAUUAUCGUGCUCGCAGGACUACUAGCUAGAAAAGACACAAUUGAUGAGUGGGAAACUGUGCAUAAGAAUGUUAAUGUAUAUAUAAGGAGAGGCACAGACCUUGAACCAGAAUACAAAGGUCAAAAACAUGGAGGUGCUUCAUGGGUCUUGGAACUCAGUUAUGACAACUUACCAUAUCGCUUAAAGCUAUGCUUUUUGUACUUGGCAAAUUUUCCUGAAGAUUAUGAGAUACCGGUGAAAAGACUGACUUGGUUAUGGAUGGCAGAAGGUUUUAUAUCCACGAAGUCAACAGAAAUGAUGGAAGAUGUAUCAUAUAGUUGCUUGAGUGAAUUGGUGGAAAGGUGUAUGGUCCAAGUUGUGGACAUUGGUUUAUCUGGGAAAAUUAAAACUUGUCGUCUUCAUGAUCUUAUGCGAGACUUGUGCUUGUUAAAAGCCGAAGGGGAGAACUUUUUACAUGUUGUCAAUUUUCAUACAGGGACGAGAAACAACACAACACAAGUCGGUAGAGUUCGAAGAGUGGCAAUGUAUGUGAACAAAACAGUUGAUCAAUUAGUUCCCACCACAAGAGGUGCUCCCCUGAGGUCACUCUUAUACUUCGGCCCACACAACUUUCAUCGAAUCUGGAAUAAAAAAGUCAUCCGGUCUGUAUUCAAUGACUUCAAAUUACUUAGAGUCUUGAAGUUUGAAGGUAUGUAUGGACUCGAAGAGUUACCGAGCACAAUUGGAAAUCUGGUCCACUUGCGGUUUUUAAGUGUAAAGAAAAGUGCAGUAGAAAACUUGCCAUCAUCUGUAGCUAACUUGGUGUGUUUGCAGACUUUAGAUUUACGUUGUUAUACUAAAGGGAAAUUCAUGAACAUCCCAAAUGUGUUUAAGAAGAUGGAACAAUUGAGGCAUUUAUAUCUACCCCGGUAUUAUUACAAGCUACGUGGGGAGCUCUCAUUGGCUACAGCUUGCAACUUGCAGACGUUAGUCAAUGUUAAAUGUGGAAACUGUGAUUUUAAUGCCCUUGUUGAAUUAUACAGUCUUCGGAAACUAUCCAUCAGGGAUGGGGUAGGGUCAGAACACUGGAAAAAACUGGAGGAAUUCUUGAGAUCGAGAAGUAGUAGUCCCACAUUCCACCAUCUUCGUUCUCUAUCUCUGAAACUGUAUGGUCAUGAUUCAUUAAUGGAUCUAUCGGGGUUUCGUUUUAUAUACAAGCUGCGACUGGUGGGGCCCUCAAUCAAGGAGUUACCGGAGAACCUCGUCUCCUUUCCAAACCUGAUCAAGAUAAAGCUGUCUUCUACUCAACUGAAGGGGGACCUGAUAGAAAUACUUGAGAAGCUGCCACACUUGAGAGUGCUUUACCUUCAAUUUGAAGUUUUCUCCAGCCUUCCUUCAAACACACUGGUUUGCAGCAAUGGAGGAUUUCCCAAUCUUGAAUUUCUUUCCCUCGGUAGGUUGCCAGAAUUGAAAGAGUGGAGGGUGGAGGAAGGAGCCAUGCCUCGUCUCCGCAGAUUGUGCAUUGAUUUCUGCGAGCAAUUGAGGGCAGUUCCAGAUGGGCUUCAAUACGUUGCUACCCUCAAGGAGUUGACUGUCAAGUACAUGUCAAGUGAAUUCUGUAGUAGGCUUGGGGAAGACGGGGAGGAUUUCCACAAAAUCAAACAUGUACCUUCUCUUAUCAUAACAGGAACUGAACAGAGAGACUUGCAGGAGGAGAGGCGGAAGAAGUUGCUGGAGGAGAGAACGAGCAGGCUUGGACAAGGUGCUGACAGAGCGAGCAGGCGUAUCCAGGGGCGUAGCCCUUGUCUCUUAUCAAACAUGUACCUUCUCUUAUCAUAACAGGAACUGAACAGAGAGACUUGCAGGAGGAGAGGCGGAAGAAGUUGCUGGAGGAGAGAACGAGCAGGCUUGGACAAGGUGCUGACAGAGCGAGCAGGCGUAUCCAGGGGCGUAGCCCUUGUCUCUUAUCAAACAUGUACCUUCUCUUAUCAUAACAGGAACUGAACAGAGAGACUUGCAGGAGGAGAGGCGGAAGAAGUUGCUGGAGGAGAGAACGAGCAGGCUUGGACAAGGUGCUGACAGAGCGAGCAGGCGUAUCCAGGGGCGUAGCCCUUGUCUCUUAUCAAACAUGUACCUUCUCUUAUCAUAACAGGAACUGAACAGAGAGACUUGCAGGAGGAGAGGCGGAAGAAGUUGCUGGAGGAGAGAACGAGCAGGCUUGGACAAGGUGCUGACAGAGCGAGCAGGCGUAUCCAGGGGCGUAGCCCUUGUCUCUUAUCAAACAUGUACCUUCUCUUAUCAUAACAGGAACUGAACAGAGAGACUUGCAGGAGGAGAGGCGGAAGAAGUUGCUGGAGGAGAGAACGAGCAGGCUUGGACAAGGUGCUGACAGAGCGAGCAGGCGUAUCCAGGGGCGUAGCCCUUGUCUCUUAUCAAACAUGUACCUUCUCUUAUCAUAACAGGAACUGAACAGAGAGACUUGCAGGAGGAGAGGCGGAAGAAGUUGCUGGAGGAGAGAACGAGCAGGCUUGGACAAGGUGCUGACAGAGCGAGCAGGCGUAUCCAGGGGCGUAGCCCUUGUCUCUUAUCAAACAUGUACCUUCUCUUAUCAUAACAGGAACUGAACAGAGAGACUUGCAGGAGGAGAGGCGGAAGAAGUUGCUGGAGGAGAGAACGAGCAGGCUUGGACAAGGUGCUGACAGAGCGAGCAGGCGUAUCCAGGGGCGUAGCCCUUGUCUCUUAUCAAACAUGUACCUUCUCUUAUCAUAACAGGAACUGAACAGAGAGACUUGCAGGAGGAGAGGCGGAAGAAGUUGCUGGAGGAGAGAACGAGCAGGCUUGGACAAGAUGCUGACAGAGCGAGCAGGCGUAUCCAGGGGCGUAGCCAAGACAAGGGCUACUUGGGCUACAGCCCAAGGGAAAAUUUGGCCCAAAAUCGAUUAAGUAUGGGUAUAGCCCAAUAAAAAAAAAAAAAAAAUACUGAAGAUUGUAGGUCAACUCUCAGCUCUCUCCUUCUCCGAUUUCUUCCCCGUGGCUGUGGUGCUGUCCCCAUUUGCUUCCCCCUUGAGUGUAGCUAGUUCCGGCAGUCCGCUCUUGCCACCUCCACCGCUCGGUCCGCUCCACGCCUGAGCCACCUCCUCCGCCACCGCUCACCUGCCCACCUCCACGGCUCCAUUGCGCAAAUUCCAUCAAUCCCAGAUGAUGUAGGUCGACUCUUAGGCUCAACUUCAGUGGUUCUCCCCCGUGGGCUGUGGCACUGUGGCGCUGUCCCCAUUUGCUUCCCCCUUCCAGCCUUCAAGAGUUCCAGAUCUCAGGUGGCUAGGUUUGGCUACAGAGACAUCAAAAAUUUUUUUUGGGCUUCGCCCAAAAAAAUUGCCACAAUACAUUUUGCCCACCCCAUUUUAGAAUCCUAGCUACGCCCCUGGGCGUAUCUGGACAUGUCUCAAGUAAUUGUGGGCUCUUGUGACCUGAGGAAAUAUGGUAUGUGAUCGAUUAAUUGACAGUUCGAUUAAGCCUGGGCCUUGUUUCCUUCGUCUCCUCCCGCGCCGAGGAGAUCGCCGAUAUGGUUAUGGCGCUGUUUCUAGGGUUGCUGAGGAGGACGCACUUGCUCUCGCGCCAAACGCUUUCGGCUUCCGGGUGGCUUGGUUCGGUUCAGCCGCUUUGCCGUGGGAUGAGGCGAUGCCCGGGCUUGGUUUUGGGGAUUAUUGGUAGAUCUGCAGCGGCCAGGUCUCUGGCUACUAGGAGCUUGGCCUUCAAGAUAUCAGUGUGCUGUAUUUUGAUGUAGAGGUGAACGGAAAAGUGAGUAGGUCUUAUGGCUUUCCUUCUGCUGCCCAAAAGAUGGAUACUCUAAAUGACUUACUUGCUGCGAGUGACCUCAUUUCGCUUCAUUGUGCUCUGACAAAUGAAACAAUUCAGAUUCUCAAUGCUGAAUGUUUACAGCACGUAAAGCCUGGAGCAUUUCUUGUAAACACGGGUAGCAGUCAGCUGUUGGAUGAUUGUUUUGUGAAACAGCUUUUGAUUUAUGGAACUUUAGCUGGGUGUGCUUUGGAUGGUGCUGAAGGGCCGCAAUGGAUGGAAGCAUGGGUAAAGGAGAUGCUCAAUGUAUUGAUACUUCCGCACAGUGCAGAUUAUAGCGAAGAAGUAUGGCUGGAGAUAAGGGAGAAAGCAAUAUCCGUAUUGCAGACAUUCUUCUUUGAUGGGGUUGUUCCAAAAAAUGUUGUAUCUGAUGAGGAUGAGGAGGAAAGUGAAAUAGGUGAUGAAAAUGAACCCUCUGAUAAACUGGAGCAAGAAAAUCCCUUACAGCUAACCCUUGUUCAGCAAUUAACUGAUGUUAGUCAUGCAAGUCCAGAAAGCUCCCUGAAUAAAGAAACCAAUCAAUCCAAGUCUCCUAGCCAGCAAGGUUUGGGUUUGUCUCAAAAUUCAACUACUCGGUCUGAUGGAAGACGAAGUAGAUGAGGUAAGAAAGCCAAAAAGAGGCACACACAUCAGAAAUCCCAGAAGAAAUCAGAUGAACC